UACGUAGGUGGCAAGCGUUAUCCGGAUUUACUGGGUGUAAAGGGAGCGUAGACGGCAGCGCAAGUCUGGAGUGAAAUGCCGGGGCUCAACCCCGGAACUGCUUUGGAAACUGUGCAGCUAGAGUGCGGGAGAGGUAAGCGGAAUUCCUAGUGUAGCGGUGAAAUGCGUAGAUAUUAGGAGGAACACCAGUGGCGAAGGCGGCUUACUGGACCGUAACUGACGUUGAGGCUCGAAAGCGUGGGGAGCAAACAGG
rnacentral:rRNA from 1 species